rnacentral:rRNA from 1 species
AAAAGAAGAUCAAGAAGAGCUUCAGAAUGAAGCUUUCUUGAUGGAGGGGAGCGGCAGACGGGUGAGUAACGCGUGGGAACGUACCCUUUACUACGGAACAACUCCGGGAAACUGGAGCUAAUACCGUAUGUGCCCUUUGGGGGAAAGAUUUAUCGGUAAAGGAUCGGCCCGCGUUGGAUUAGCUAGUUGGUGGGGGAAAGGCCUACCAAGGCGACGAUCCAUAGCUGGUCGGAGAGGAUGAUCAGCCACAUUGGGACUGAGACACGGCCCAAACUCCUACGGGAGGCAGCAGUGGGGAAUAUUGGACAAUGGGCGCAAGCCUGAUCCAGCCAUGCCGCGUGAGUGAUGAAGGCCCUAGGGUUGUAAAGCUCUUUCACCGGGGAAGAUAAUGACGGUACCCGGAGAAGAAGCCCCGGCUAACUUCGUGCCAGCAGCCGCCGCCG